rnacentral:lncRNA from 12 species
CCAAGAGGUCGCUGGGCGUGAAUCAUAACGCCUCACGCCUACAGGCCCGAGUAUUAUCCCAAGCACUUGACAUAAACGAAUUCAUUGAAUCCUCUCUGCAGGGCCACGCAGCAGGUUGGUGUCAUUGUCCCUACCUCAGAGUCGAGAGAAAAAAGGCGUGAUCCUACACAAGGUAACGUGGGAGUACGUGGUGGGAUUUGGCCCUGGGUGCAUCUGGCUCUGGGCUUCAAGAGCCUGCAGAAGGCUGAGCAGGACAGAGAGGAAGACGGAGGCCUCCGGAACCACGGGGAGCAGCAGGCCUGGAGUGGGGGUCAGGGUACUCUCAAACCCAAGAGCAGCCACAGGAUGCCAGGCGCCAGACAUCACUUCACCGAGCGGGUGCUAUUCGGCCCCAGCCUCCCUGAGGCUGCAGAUUCCCUGCCACAUGCAGUUCCACAUCGCCUACAUCGCGGAAGGGGCAGAGGAAGGCAGGCAGCCAGGAGACGGAGAGCACCGCCGUGCUAGGUACAGCACCGUGCCUCUGGGGCAUCCUCAUCACCUCGGUCCAAGUGGCCUGCGAUGACGGGACCAGACCCCCGUCUGUGCCUGUGCACGGAAAGGAUGCUUUUGGAUCGACUCAGACCUCAUGCUGGCGAGGGGCUUUGGUAGAGCCUCAUUCUCGUUCAACUGACGCCUCAGAGAGAGGCUUGCUCUCUUGGGAGUUCAGACGGUGGCUCCCACGUAGUUACACACAUGUGUUCUCAAUACCCAUCUGGCAUCCGUGUGCAGCGUGGCGCAGCGGGCACUGGACGACCGGAGCCUGCCCUUGAGGGCUGCCACUGGCACUGAGGCUGUUGAGAUGGGAUGUAGGUACCGUCGGGCGCACCAGGGGCUGGGGCGUCAGGGGUCACCACCCAUGCACUGGGGGGGCUGCUCACAGGCCCCUGCCUGGACUGUGUCCGGGCUUCCUCCUGUGGCCGACCUGGUGUUCCCUUCCUCCUUCCUCCUUCCUGAAAAGUUGCACUGGAUCAGGCAGUGGAUUUCAGCGUUAGGGUGAUGAGUAAGGUAGACCAGGAGGCUGCCCAGAGCGCUUGCACAUCAGUAGGGGAAAUGAGUAAGGAAGCAAAAAACCAACCCUCAUUAUAGCAGGUGGAGGGGCCGAAAAGGAGUCAGAAAGGUACUGUGGGAAAGGACGACUGGGGUUGGGGGUGAGUGGGAAGAGGGUGGAAUUUGAGCUGAGACAUGAGGGACGGGGUAUCCUAGGUUAAAUAACGUCCCCCCCCCCCGCCUGUUUCCUGGAACCUCAGAAUAGGAUCUUAUUUGGAGAUAGGGCCAU